CCUACGGGUGGCAGCAGUGAGGAAUAUUGGUCAAUGGGCGGGAGCCUGAACCAGCCAAGCCGCGUGAGGGAAGAAGGUACAGCGUAUCGUAAACCUCUUUUGUCAGGGAACAAAGGCGGGGACUAGUCCCCGGAUGCGGGUACCUGAAGAAAAAGCAUCGGGUAACACCGUGCCAGCAGCCGGGGUAAUACGGAGGAUGCGAGCGUUAUCCGGAUUUAGUGGGGUUAUAGGGUGUGCAGGCGGCCUGUUAAGUCAGCGGGAAAAGCCCGGGGCUAAACCCCGGCGAGCCGUUGAAACUGGCGGGCUGGAGUUGGAGAGAAGUACGCGGAAUGCGCGGUGUAGCGGUGAAAUGCUUAGAUAUCGCGCAGAACCCCGAUUGCGAAGGCAGCGUACCGGCUCCACACUGACGCUGAGGCAAGAAAGCGUGGGUAUCGAACAGGAUUAGAUACCCUUGUAGUC
rnacentral:rRNA from 1 species